UACGGGGGGGGCAAGCGUUGUCCGGAUUUACUGGGCGUAAAGAGCGCGCAGGCGGUCGUGUAAGUCGCGUGUGAAAGCCCCCGGCUCAACUGGGGAGGGUCACGCGAUACUGCUCGACUUGAAGGCAGGAGAGGGAAGUGGAAUUCCCGGUGUAGUGGUGAAAUGCGUAGAUAUCGGGAGGAACACCAGUGGCGAAGGCGACUUCCUGGCCUGUUCUUGACGCUGAGGCGCGAAAGCUAGGGUAGCAAACGGG
rnacentral:rRNA from 1 species